rnacentral:rRNA from 1 species
GACGAACGCUGGCGGUGCGCCUAACACAUGCAAGUCGAACGGUGAAGCGGGCUUCGGCCCGUGGAUCAGUGGCGAACGGGUGCGUAACACGUGGGCAACCUGCCCCUCACUCUGGGAUAACUCCGGGAAACCGGGGCUAAUACCGGAUACUCCGGCCGAACCGCAUGGUUAAGCCGGGAAAGGUCCGCUGGUGAGGGAUGGGCCCGCGGCCUAUCAGCUAGUUGGUGGGGUAACGGCCUACCAAGGCGACGACGGGUAGCUGGCCUGAGAGGACGACCAGCCACACUGGGACUGAGAUACGGCCCAGACUCCUACGGGAGGCAGCAGUGGGGAAUCUUGCGCAAUGGGCGAAAGCCUGACGCAGCGACACCGCGUGAGGGACGAAGGCCUUCGGGUUGUAAACCUCUUUCGGCAGGGACGAAGCGAUCGUGACGGUACCUGCAGAAGAAGCUCCGGCUAACUACGUGCCAGCCGCCGCAGUAACAC